GCCAGUGUUUCCUAAUGGUUAGAGUGUAGGACUAGGACUCUGGAGACCAGUGUUCAAUUCCCAGCUCAGCCA